rnacentral:lncRNA from 1 species
CAGAACUUAUGCCACCAUCAUUUUCAUUAUAAAGUAGUGGAAAGAAAAAGAGUGCGCAGAACACAUAAAGCACAAUGGUAAGCAAAGAACACAGACGUGCAGUCUGAACUUAAAGAAUAAUUUAAAAUUCAGAUGACCUGGGUUAUCCGUUAUAUUAAUCAUAAGUUCAUAACCACAAACACACAAGUACAAAUGCUCCACAAAUAAAGUAACUUAAAUCAUUCUGAUCUCUCUAAUACUUAUGCCACCAUCAUGUUCAUUAUAAAGUAGUGGAAAGAAAAAGAAUGUGCAGAAAACAUAAAGUACAAUGGUAAGCAAAGAACACAGGCGUGCAUUCUGAACUGAAUGAAUAAUUUAAAAUUCAAAUGACCUGGGUUAUCCGUUAUAUUAAUCAUAACCACAAACACACAAGUACAAAUGCUCGACAAAUAAAGUAACUUAAAUCAUUCUGAUCUCUCUAAUACAUUUUUCCUAUGUUUUCUUCUGUCAAAAUAUGCACCCAAUCAACCUUCCUUUUACAACAGAGCUGGGGAAAUAUAAACACAUAAGUUCAUCAUAACCUAAUAAUAUUUGAAUAACCAAACAUAGCUAAAUAAAAGUGUAUAAGAUGUGAAAACAUAAUUGGUGCACCUGCCUAUUAAUUGGUGAAUGCUAAAGGUGGUAUGAAUACUCUGAAAAUAAUAAGAUUUAGUUGUUUGACUUAUUUCAACUG